rnacentral:rRNA from 1 species
AUUGAACGCUGGCGGCAUGCCUUACACAUGCAAGUCGAACGGUAACAGGUUAAGCUGACGAGUGGCGAACGGGUGAGUAAUGUAUCGGAACGUGCCCAGUCGUGGGGGAUAACUGCUCGAAAGAGCAGCUAAUACCGCAUACGACCUGAGGGUGAAAGCGGGGGAUCGCAAGACCUCGCGCGAUUGGAGCGGCCGAUAUCAGAUUAGGUGGUUGGUGGGGUAAAGGCCUACCAAGCCUACGAUCUGUAGCUGGUCUGAGAGGACGACCAGCCACACUGGGACUGAGACACGGCCCAGACUCCUACGGGAGGCAGCAGUGGGGAAUUUUGGACAAUGGACGCAAGUCUGGUCCAGCCAUGCCGCGUGCGGGAAGAAGGCCUUCGGGUUGUAAACCGCUUUUGUCAGGGAAGAAAAGGUUCUGGUUAAUACCUGGGACUCAUGACGGUACCUGAAGAAUAAGCACCGGCUAACUACGUGCCAGCCGCCGCCGUAAUAC